rnacentral:rRNA from 1 species
GGGUUGUGAGGUUAAGCGACUAAGCGUACACGGUGGAUGCCCUGGCAGUCAGAGGCGAUGAAGGGCGUGCUAAUCUGCGAUAAGCGCCGGUAAGGUGAUAUGAACCGUUAUAACCGGCGAUACCCGAAUGGGGAAACCCAGUGUGAUUCGUCACACUAUCAUUAACUGAAUCCAUAGGUUAAUGAGGCGAACCGGGGGAACUGAAACAUCUAAGUACCCCGAGGAAAAGAAAUCAACCGAGAUUCCCCCAGUAGCGGCGAGCGAACGGGGAGGAGCCCAGAGCCUGAAUCAGCAUGUGUGUUAGUGGAAGCGUCUGGAAAGGCGCGCGAUACAGGGUGACAGCCCCGUACACAAAAGCGUAUGUGCUGUGAGCUCGAUGAGUAGGGCGGGACACGUGGUAUCCUGUCUGAAUAUGGGGGGACCAUCCUCCAAGGCUAAAUACUCCUGACUGACCGAUAGUGAACCAGUACCGUGAGGGAAAGGCGAAAAGAACCCCGGCGAGGGGAGUGAAAAAGAACCUGAAACCGUGUACGUACAAGCAGUGGGAGCACCCUUUGGGGUGUGACUGCGUACCUUUUGUAUAAUGGGUCAGCGACUUAUAUUCUGUAGCAAGGUUAACCGAAUAGGGGAGCCGGAGGGAAACCGAGUCUUAAUUGGGCGUUAA